CAAUGAUCUCUCAUACUUUAGCAGGAACCAUGCUUUCAUUAAAAACCUUACUUGGAAUUUUAGCAAAUGUAUCUUUUCUUUAUCAUUAUGUCUGGCUGUGUGUCACUGAAUUUAGGUUCAAGCCCAUAGACAAAAUGAUUCAGGACCUGACCAUAGUUAAUACCCUUAUCAUGGUUUCCAAAGGAAUCCCACAGACAGUGACAGCAUUUGGAGUCAAACAUGUACUUCAUGAAUUUGUAUGUAUAUUCAUUAUGUAUAUUUACAGAGUGGACAGAGGUGUGUCAGUUGUAACAACGUGCAUACUCAGUGUCUUUCAGGCUAUUAAGAUGAGCCCUGUAGACUCCAGCAGCAAGGAGCUUAAAAGAAAAGCUCCCCUGUAUGUUGGUGUGUCUAUUUCACUUUGUUGGGUUUUAUAUAUGUUGAUAAACGUAAUUUUCCCUGUGUACAUCCACUGACAUUUGAAUUUCAAAAACAUCACAUGGAAAAGAGAUUCUGGGUACUGUUUUGCAGGGUUUCAUGAUGGAAUUGAAAGUUCAUUGUAUAUAGUAUUGGUAUUGCUACCUUAAGUUUCAUGCUUAGAGUUUAUGUUCUGGUCUAGCAGUACCAUUAUUUGCAUACCUCACAGGCACAGAUGGAGUAUAUACACAUGGUAAGGUUUUCUUCCAGACCCUCACCUUAGUUGACAGCUAUCCAACACAUCUUGACCUUGGUGUGCACCAUCGUGUCUUUUUUGUUU
rnacentral:lncRNA from 1 species